AUUUGCAUUUAUCUUCGGAAUUUGAAUACGUAUUACUCCCAAUAUUUUUGUACUACUAACUUUUUUUAAUAUGGCUUAAGGAAAGUCGUUACCGAUUGAAGAAAAUGCAAUAAUCGAAACAUAUGAUGAGAGCUUCCAAUGAUUGAAAGAUCGAAAAAAGUUGCCAGAAGUCGAAAAUGUACAAUUUCUUGCGUAAUAUGUCAGAAUUCGGUCGAAAUAAUAAAGGCGGUAAGAAUAAAGGCAUAUCACUGUCUAAUCGGCAAACAUGCCAGUAUACUUGGAACGCCUUAUAAGGACUAUUGUAGAAGCUCUCAGGAGAUAGAAGACGAUGAGACCAUUAAACAUCUUCUAUACCACCAUUAAACAGCCUUCUAUAGGUGGUAUCACAAUGGGCCUCCUAAAAGCCUAGGUGUGUCGUAAGACAACAACUCUACCUACGUACCUACCUAGACUGUCGAUUAAAGGCGUUUUGUGGGCGUGACAAUAGUACCAAUGCACACGUAUACCUAGUUUUAGCAAGAUAUCUUAAUUUUUACUCAAGUUAUGGCCUACACUUACUUACGGGCGGACUUACUUUUUCCUCAGAUAUUGAAUAUUUAUAAAAUUUCAUCAUAUAUAUAUCGUAAUGAAAUAUAUCUCUGAAAAAUUAAGCGGUAAUAUUUCGAUUAAUAAAAAUUGUGGCACUAAUAAGAUAGAUAUAGUGUUUUGUGUUAGUUUGGUUAUUUUAUUAUAAAUAUCUCGAACACGAAGCAAAAUGUUGUAAUCAAACUAAGUGAAUAAUUAAUGUUUUUAAUAUAAAGUUUGCCAACACCUAAAAGCGUUUGAUCCUUGAAAAUUACGAAAGUAUAAAAUGUUCGUUGUCGUUGAACUUGUCUCUUAGUUCCUUGUUUAUUACCUACUUUCUACGGAAAACAUAAUGCAUCUAGAUGUUUUCUUAUAUAAAUAUUAUUAGUCCAUUUUGUUUUUUUUCAGAAUCAGGAUUUCACAAGUGCCUACCCUAAUUUCUCGAAUAAGGACAAAAGAGAUAAAACGGAGUUCUCUCCGACGGUUUUAACAUUUGUUGGAGUUCUAACCUUUAUUAUAAUGAUUGUAGGUAUACAAGUAUUUGGAAAUUUUCUCACCGUUGCUGCUUUGUAUAAAUGCCCGAAAGUUCGAAACGUAGCCGCCGCUUUACAAGUAUAAUAACAUAUGUGCUUAUGUUCGCAUAUAGGAAUAGAUUUACAAAAACAGUUUAUAACUUUAAUAAUAUAAGUUAAGUCGACUUAACUAAAUUGUUUACAACCUCAUUCAAUAAGUGUGUGUAAUAAUCUUGAAACAAUAAAUACUGUACUCGAGCUAUUUUA